rnacentral:rRNA from 1 species
CCUACGGGGGGCAGCAGUCGAGAAUCAUUCACAAUGGGGGAAACCCUGAUGGUGCGACGCCGCGUGGGGGAAUGAAGGUCUUCGGAUUGUAAACCCCUAUCAUGUGGGAGCAAAUUAAAAAGGUAGUACCACAAGAGGAAGAGACGGCUAACUCUGUGCCAGCAGCCGCGGUAAUACAGAGGUCUCAAGCGUUGUUCGGAAUCACUGGGCGUAAAGCGUGCGUAGGCUGUUUCGUAAGUCGUGUGUGAAAGGCGCGGGCUCAACCCGCGGACGGCACAUGAUACUGCGAGACUAGAGUAAGGGAGGGGGAACCGGAAUUCUCGGUGUAGCAGUGAAAUGCGUAGAUAUCGAGAGGAACACUCGUGGCGAAGGCGGGUUCCUGGACAUUAACUGACGCUGAGGCACGAAGGCCAGGGGAGCGAAAGGGAUUAGAUACCCCAGUAGUC